rnacentral:rRNA from 1 species
CCUACGGGUGGCAGCAGUGGGGAAUAUUGGACAAUGGGCGAAAGCCUGAUCCAGCCAUGCCGCGUGUGUGAAGAAGGCCUUCGGGUUGUAAAGCACUUUCAGUGGGGAAGAAAGCCUUGGGGCUAAUACCCUCGAGGAAGGACAUUACCCACAGAAGAAGCACCGGCUAACUCCGUGCCAGCAGCCGCGGUAAUACGGAGGGUGCGAGCGUUAAUCGGAAUUACUGGGCGUAAAGCGCGCGUAGGCGGUCUGUUAAGCCGGUUGGGAAAGCCCCGGGCUCAACCUGGGAACGGCAUCCGGAACUGUCAGGCUAGAGUGCAGGAGAGGAAGGUAGAAUUCCCGGUGUAGCGGUGAAAUGCGUAGAGAUCGGGAGGAAUACCAGUGGCGAAGGCGGCCUUCUGGACUGACACUGACGCUGAGGUGCGAAAGCGUGGGUAGCAAACAGGAUUAGAUACCCGUGUAGUC